UACGUAGGGGGCAAGCGUUGUCCGGAUUUAUUGGGCGUAAAGAGCGUGUAGGCGGCCGUACAGGUCAGCUGUGAAAACUCGAGGCUCAACCUCGAGACGUCGGUUGAAACCGUACGGCUAGAGUCCGGAAGAGGAGAGUGGAAAUUCCCGGUGUAGCGGUGAAAUGCGCAGAUAUCGGGAAGAACACCCGUGGCGAAGGCGGCUCUCUGGGACGGUACUGACGCUGAGACGGCGAAAGCGUGGGGAGCGAACAGGA
rnacentral:rRNA from 1 species